rnacentral:rRNA from 1 species
UGCAGUCGAACGAGAGACCGGGCUUCGGCCCGUGAUCUAGUGGCGGACGGCUGAGUAACACGUGAGGAACUUGCCCUCCGGUGGGGGACAACCACGGGAAACCGUGGCUAAUACCGCAUGAUGUCACGUCUCACAAGGGACGUGACCAAAGACUUCGGUUGCCGGAGGAGAGUCUCGCGGCCUAUCAGCUAGUUGGUGAGGUAACGGCUCACCAAGGCGAUGACGGGUAGCCGGUCUGAGAGGACGAUCGGUCAGAGGGGGACUGAGACACGGCCCCCACUCCUACGGGAGGCAGCAGCAGGGAAUCUUGCGCAAUGGGCGAAAGCCUGACGCAGCGACGCCGCGUGGGGGAUGAAGGCUCUAGGGUUGUAAACCCCUUUUGCUGGGGAAGAAGUUCUGACGGUACCCAGCGAAUAAGGCCCGGCCAACUACGUGCCAGCAGCCGCGGUAAAACGUAGGGGCCAAGCGUUGUCCGGAAUUAUUGGGCGUAAAGGGUGCGUAGGCGGCCCGGUCAGUCUCGUGUGAAAGCUCCCGGCCCAACCGGGAGAGGUCACGGGAUACUGCCGGGCUUGAGGAUAGCAGAGGAAGGUGGAAUUCCCGGUGUAGCGGUGAUAUGCGUAGAUAUCGGGAGGAACACCUGUGGCGAAAGCGACCUUCUGGGCUAUUUCUGACGCUGAGGCACGAGAGCGUGGGGAGCGAACCGGAUUAGAUACCCGGGUAGUCCACGCCCUAAACGGUGGAUACUAGACAUGGGGGGGUAUCGACCCCCUCUGUGUCGUAGUUAACGCGUUAAGUAUCCCGCCUGGGGAGUACGGCCGCAAGGCUAAAACUCAAAGGAAUUGACGGGGGCCCGCACAAGCAGCGGAGCGUGUUGUUCAAUUUCGAUGCCAAGCGAAGAACCUUUACAGGGCUUGACAUGAUUCCGA